rnacentral:rRNA from 1 species
CCCUACGGGAGGCAGCAGUGGGGAAUAUUGGGCAAUGGGCGCAAGCCUGACCCAGCAACGCCGCGUGAAGGAUGAAGGCUUUCGGGUUGUAAACUUCUUUGAUCGGGGACGAAAUUGACGGUACCCGAGGAACAAGCCACGGCUAACUACGUGCCAGCAGCCGCGGUAAUACGUAGGUGGCGAGCGUUAUCCGGAAUUACUGGGCGUAAAGGGCGCGUAGGCGGGAAAACAAGUCAGGAGUGAAAUCCCAGGGCUUAACGCUGGAGCUGCUUCUGAAACUGUUUUUCUUGAGUGUCGGAGAGGAAAGUGGAAUUCCCAGUGUAGCGGUGAAAUGCGUAGAGAUUGGGAGGAACACCAGUGGCGAAGGCGGCUUUCUGGACGAUAACUGACGCUGAGGCGCGAAAGCGUGGGGAGCAAACAGGAUUAGAUACCCCGGUAGUCCG